GACGAACGCUGGCGGCGUGCCUAACACAUGCAAGUCGAACGGAAAGGCCCUGCUCUUGUGGGGUGCUCGAGUGGCGAACGGGUGAGUAACACGUGAGUAACCUGCCCCUGACUUUGGGAUAACUUCAGGAAACUGGGGCUAAUACCGGAUAGGAGCUCCUGCUGCAUGGUGGGGGUUGGAAAGUUUCGGCGGUUGGGGAUGGACUCGCGGCUUAUCAGCUUGUUGGUGGGGUAGUGGCUUACCAAGGCUUUGACGGGUAGCCGGCCUGAGAGGGUGACCGGCCGCAUUGGGACUGAGAUACGGCCCAGACUCCUACGGGAGGCAGCAGUGGGGAAUAUUGCACAAUGGGCGGAAGCCUGAUGCAGCAACGCCGCGUGCGGGAUGACGGCCUUCGGGUUGUAAACCGCUUUCGCCUGUGACGAAGCGUGAGUGACGGUAAUGGGUAAAGAAGCACCGGCUAACUACGUG
rnacentral:rRNA from 1 species